rnacentral:rRNA from 1 species
CCUACGGGAGGCAGCAGUGGGGGAUAUUGCACAAUGGGGGGAACCCUGAUGCAGCGACGCCGCGUGGGUGAAGAAGCGCCUCGGCGCGUAAAGCCCUGUCAGCAGGGAAGAAAAUGACGGUACCUGAAGAAGAAGCCCCGGCUAACUACGUGCCAGCAGCCGCGGUAAUCCGUAGGGGGCAAGCGUUAUCCGGAUUUAGUGGGUUUAAAGGGUGCGUAGGCGGUCAGGUAAGUUAGAGGUGAAAGCUCGAUGCUCAACAUCGAAACUGCCUCUGAUACUGUCUGACUAGAGUGUAGUUGCGGAAGGCGGAAUGUGUGGUGUAGCGGUGAAAUGCUUAGAUAUCACACAGAACACCGAUUGCGAAGGCAGCUUUCCAAGCUAUUACUGACGCUGAGGCACGAAAGCGUGGGGAGCGAACAGGAUUAGAUACCCCAGUAGUC